AUCGUGAAGGUGUACACGGAUUAUGAUUUCCUUGCUUGACAAACCAAGACAUGAGUUGACAAUGUUCUCCAGGGAGAUGGUGAUAGUGCAGAAUGUAUUACAAUGAUCAAUGCAUCAUAACAGUGACAACGACUAGGUUUCGUCAUUGUGGUUAGCAUACACAUCGACUGCAUUAAAUUGAUUCUAACCACAGGAUAACAAAGCAUCAAAGAAAAUACUAAGGCUAUACAUUUAUUUUUAUCGAUCGUUGCUAUCUUCUACUUUACUAUUAAUUAAUACAUGGUCUUCCUAACAAGCAAACCUAUAUGUUCUUCAUUAUUGAAUUUUCAUUCAGUUUGUUUCGAGAAUAGAGAGAUGGUCAACUUGAUGAAUCGUUGAUGAAUCUUGAAUUAAUUUCAUUAUCUUCAAAGUUGACAGUUUUCUAUAGAUAAAAUUUCAUAUUUGGUAUAAGGAAAAAGGGGGGAAAACGAUACAAUAAUCUUAGCCUGACAAUUGCCAAACAGUAUUAUUAAAAUACUACAAAAAGAAAAGAAAAAAAUCAAACACACACUCACAAAACGACAAUGUGUUUAGCAAAAUGGGGUUUUAAUAACUGGUUUGGAAAAAAAGUAUAUUAACCCCAAAAUGGGAUAUAAUAACCCGUUUGAAAUAUGAUAACCCAAAAUGGGAUACAAUUACAUGCCAAAAUAACAUUUUUAUUCAACAG
rnacentral:lncRNA from 1 species